UACGUAGGGCGCAAGCGUUGUCCGGAAUUAUUGGGCGUAAAGAGCUCGUAGGCGGUUUGUCGCGUCUGCUGUGAAAACCCGCGGCUUAACUGCGGGACUGCAGUCGAUACGGGCAGGCUAGAGUUCGGUAGGGGAGACUGGAAUUCCUGGUGGUAGCGGUGAAAUGCGCAGAUAUCAGGAGGAACACCGGUGGCGAAGGCGGGUCUCUGGGCCGACACUGACGCUGAGGAGCGAAAGCGUGGGGAGCGAACAGG
rnacentral:rRNA from 1 species